rnacentral:rRNA from 1 species
GUCGAGCGGUAGCACAGAGAGCUUGCUCUCGGGUGACGAGCGGCGGACGGGUGAGUAANGUCUGGGAAACUGCCUGAUGGAGGGGGAUAACUACUGGAAACGGUAGCUAAUACCGCAUAACGUCGCAAGACCNAAGUGGGGGACCUUCGGGCCUCAUGCCAUCAGAUGUGCCCAGAUGGGAUUAGCUAGUAGGUGGGGUAAUGGCUCACCUAGGCGACGAUCCCUAGCUGGUCUGAGAGGAUGACCAGCCACACUGGAACUGAGACACGGUCCAGACUCCUACGGGAGGCAGCAGUGGGGAAUAUUGCACAAUGGGCGCAAGCCUGAUGCAGCCAUGCCGCGUGUAUGAAGAAGGCCUUCGGGUUGUAAAGUACUUUCAGCGAGGAGGAAGGCNUUAAGGUUAAUAACCUUNGNGAUUGACGUUACUCGCAGAAGAAGCACCGGCUAACUCCGUGCCAGCAGCCGCGGUAAUACGGAGGGUGCAAGCGUUAAUCGGAAUUACUGGGCGUAAAGCGCACGCAGGCGGUCUGUCAAGUCGGAUGUGAAAUCCCCGGGCUCAACCUGGGAACUGCAUUCGAAACUGGCAGGCUAGAGUCUUGUAGAGGGGGGUAGAAUUCCAGGUGUAGCGGUGAAAUGCGUAGAGAUCUGGAGGAAUACCGGUGGCGAAGGCGGCCCCCUGGACAAAGACUGACGCUCANGUGCGAAAGCGUGNGGAGCAAACAGGAUUAGAUACCCUGGUAGUCCACGCCGUAAACGAUGUCNACUUGGAGGNUGUGCCCUUGANGCGUGGCUUCCGGAGCUAACGCGUUAAGUCGANCGCCUGGGGAGUACGGCCGCAAGGUUAAAACUCAAAUGAAUUGANGGGGCCCGCACAAGCGGNGGANCAUGUGGUUUAAUUCGAUGCNACGCGAANAACCUUACCUACUCUUGACNUCCANAGAANUUANCANANNNGCUUUGGUGNCUUCGGGAACUCUGANACAGGNGCUGCAUGGNUGUCGUCAGCUCNNGUNNGAAAUGUGGGUUAAGUCCCGCAACGAGCGCANCCCUUAUNNUUUGUGCCAG